rnacentral:rRNA from 1 species
CCUACGGGUGGCUGCAGUGGGGAAUAUUGGACAAUGGGCGAAAGCCUGAUCCAGCCAUGCCGCGUGUGUGAAGAAGGCCUUCGGGUUGUAAAGCACUUUCAGUGGGGAAGAAAGCCUUGGGGCUAAUACCCUCGAGGAAGGACAUCACCCACAGAAGAAGCACCGGCUAACUCCGUGCCAGCAGCCGCGGUAAUACGGAGGGUGCGAGCGUUAAUCGGAAUUACUGGGCGUAAAGCGCGCGUAGGCGGUCUGAUAAGCCGGUUGUGAAAGCCCCGGGCUCAACCUGGGAACGGCAUCCGGAACGGUCAGGCUAGAGUGCAGGAGAGGAAGGUAGAAUUCCCGGUGUAGCGGUGAAAUGCGUAGAGAUCGGGAGGAAUACCAGUGGCGAAGGCGGCCUUCUGGACUGACACUGACGCUGAGGUGCGAAAGCGUGGGUAGCAAACAGGAUUAGAUACCCCUGUAGUC